UCUUAGCUAAGCCCCCUGAAACCCACAUCUGAGCUGGAACUGCGUAUGAAGACAAUAAAACUGUGAUGUGUUGUGAAGAAGCGCUGGUGGCCAAGCAGGAAGAGCAUGCUUGCAAUCCCGAGAUCGCGGCUUCAAACCCCGGCUCGUACCAAUGCUUUUUUUUGAACUUAUGUACGAAAUAUCAUUUGAUAUUUAUCAGUCGCUUUUCGGUGAAGGAAAACAUCGUGAGGAACCGAACCCAAUAAGGUCUAGUUAACUCUCUGUAUUGGAAGGUCAGAUGGCAGUGGCUUUCGUAUAUUGUGCCUACGCCAAUUCCUAAGAAUUAGUUAGAAUUAGUGAGUUAGAAAAAAAAAAUGCGAAAAUAAUGCAAAUUUAUAUAAAGAUGAAGUGUGCUGUAUAAUUAAUUCUACACGCCUAGACUCCUUAACUCAAAAAAUCUGUUUAUUUCAUACCAAAAAACAUGCAUUUUUCUAACUUAACUACUAAUCUUCAAUUAACAAGAUUUUUUGAGUUAAGGAGUCUAGGCGUGUAGAAUUAAUUAUACAGCACACUUCAUCUUUAUAUAAAUUUGCAUUAUUUUCGCAUUUUAUUUAAGCAUGUGUUUCUUUAACAUAGAUCUAACUUGCCCACAUGUUCGACCUUCUAAUGAGCUUACUAAUUCAUAUGGAAAUCUAUUCAAUAUACGCUGUACAAUGCAUUUCCGUACUCUUCGACCAUAUUCAUUGUUUGUUUUUCGGAGCUCAAACGUUGGAAUGUUAUGUUUGUGUGAAGAUUAGUUGCCAAGCGGACCCCAGGCUCCCAUGAGCGAGGAAGAUGAUGAUGUUGCUUUAUGAAGUUGGUUCAUUUUCGUUACCGUAAAAUUACCCGAUUUUGAUACAAUAGGUCCCAAUCCCAACAAUGGUCCAAAAUUUAAAUGUGACCGCGGUCGGCAAAACGUCACACUUUAUCGCUUGCCAUAAGGACGGCUUUACGUCACGCGGUCCUGGAACCAGAAUAAGAUAUCUUCAUUCAGGUUUCACUAUUAUUAGAAUGUCGCAGUUAAAGAUAAGAUAAAGAUAGUUUAUUAUUCAAGUAGGGAGAAGGUUUUAAUCGACGACCGAUAAUUGACGACCGGUCUGGCCUAGUGGGUAUAGUGACCCUGCCUAUGAAGCCGAUGGUCCCGGGUUCAAAUCCUGGUAAGGGCAUUUAUUCGUGUGAUGAGCAUGGAUAUUUGUUCCUGAGUCAUGGGUGUUUUCUAUGUAUUUAAGUAUUUAUAAAUAUUUAUAUAUUAUAUAUAUCGUUGUCUAAGUACCCUCAACACAAGCCUUAUUGAGCUUACUGUGGGACUUAUCAAUUUGUGUAAUAAUGUCCUAUAAUAUUUA